rnacentral:rRNA from 1 species
UACGGGGGGGGUAAGCGUUGUUCGGAAUUACUGGGCGUAAAGGGCUCGUAGGCGGCCAACUAAGUCAUACGUGAAAUCCCUCAGCUUAACUGGGGAACUGCGUGUGAUACUGGAUGGCUUGGAUGUGGGAGAGGGAUGCGGAAUUCCAGGUGUAGCGGUGAAAUGCGUAGAUAUCUGGAGGAACACCGGUGGCGAAGGCGGCAUCCUGGACCAUUAUUGACGCUGAGGAGCGAAAGCCAGGGGAGCAAACAGG